UAGCUCAAUCGGUUAGAGCAUCGGACUAACAAUCCGAUUGUUGCGGGUUCGAUUCCCGCUCCAGCCAG
rnacentral:tRNA from 1 species